rnacentral:rRNA from 1 species
GCAAGUUGAACGCGAAAGCUUUCUUCGGAAAGUGAGUAGAGUAGCAGACGGGUGAGUAAUGCAUAGGUAAUCUGCCCUUGAGUGGGGGAUAACUGAUAGAAAUGUCAGCUAAUCCCGCAUGACAUUAUCUCUCAUAAGUGAGGUAAUUAAAGGAGGGGAUCCUUCGGGACCUUUCGCUUGAGGAUGAGCUUAUGUCCUAUUAGCUAGUUGGUGGGGUAAUGGCCUACCAAGGCUCUGAUGGGUAGCCGAGCUGAGAGGCUGAUC